rnacentral:rRNA from 1 species
UACGUAGGGUGCGAGCGUUGUCCGGAAUUAUUGGGCGUAAAGAGCUCGUAGGCGGUGUGUCACGUCGGCCGUGAAAACCUGGGGCUUAACUCUGGGCGUGCGGUCGAUACGGGCAUCACUAGAGUGUUGCAGGGGAGACUGGAAUUCCUGGUGUAGCGGUGAAAUGCGCAGAUAUCAGGAGGAACACCGGUGGCGAAGGCGGUUCUCUGGGAACAUCCUGACGCUGAGGAGCGAAAGUGUGGGGAGCGAACAGG